GCCUAUCAGCUUGUUGGUGAGGUAACGGCUCACCAAGGCAUCGACGGGUAGCUGGUCUGAGAGGAUGAUCAGCCACACUGGGACUGAGACACGGCCCAGACUCCUACGGGAGGCAGCAGUGGGGAAUCUUGCACAAUGGGCGAAAGCCUGAUGCAGCAACGCCGCGUGCGGGAAGAAGGCCCUAGGGUUGUAAACCGCUUUCAGCAGGGAAGAAGAUGACGGUACCUGUAGAAGAAGGUGCGGCCAACUACGUGCCAGCAGCCGCGGUGACACGUAGGCACCAAGCGUUGUCCGGAUUUAUUGGGCGUAAAGAGCUCGUAGGCGGUUCGGUAAGUCGGGUGUGAAAACUCUGGGCUCAACCCAGAGCCGCCACCCGAUACUGCUGUGACUUGAGUUCGGUAGGGGAGCGGGGAAUUCCUGGUGUAGCGGUGAAAUGCGCAGAUAUCAGGAGGAACACCAGUGGCGAAGGCGCCGCUCUGGGCCGAGACUGACGCUGAGGAGCGAAAGCGUGGGUAGCAAACAGGAUUAGAUACCCUGGUAGUCCACGCCGUAAACGUUGGGCACUAGGUGUGGGUCUCAACCAACGAGAUCCGCGCCGUCGCUAACGCAUUAAGUGCCCCGCCUGGGGAGUACGGCCGCAAGGCUAAAACUCAAAUGAAUUGACGG
rnacentral:rRNA from 1 species